GAUGAACGCUAGCUACAGGCUUAACACAUGCAAGUCGAGGGGCAGCGGAGGAGUUAGCUUGCUAACUUCAGACGGCGACCGGCGCACGGGUGAGUAACACGUAUCCAACCUGGCCGUUACUCGGGAAUAGCCUUCCGAAAGGAAGAUUAAUGCUCGAUGGUAUAUAUUUAUCGCAUGAUGUUUUAACCAAAGAUUUAUCGGUAUAGGAUGGCGAUGCGUGACAUUAGGUAGUAGGUGAGGUAACGGCUCACCUAGCCUACGAUGUCUAGGGGUUCUGAGAGGAAGGUCCCCCACACUGGUACUGAGACACGGACCAGACUCCUACGGGAGGCAGCAGUGAGGAAUAUUGGUCAAUGGUCGGAAGACUGAACCAGCCAUGCCGCGUGAAGGAAGAAUGUCCUAUGGAUUGUAAACUUCUUUUGUAAGGGAGCAAUAAGUUCCAUGCGUGGGAUGAUGAGAGUACCUUACGAAUAAGCAUCGGCUAACUCCGUGCCAG
rnacentral:rRNA from 1 species